ensembl:lncRNA
CUUCUGAAAGCAUAGAGGUAAUUCCUAGGCAGUAUCAUCACUCCUGAACAGAAAUGUUACUCUGAUGUUUAACAUAUAUAUUGAAGUACUCCACAAACACCUAGAAAUAAACAGAUCUGGAAAUUCUUAAUUCUGAUAAGAAGUUUCUUGGCAAAACUAGAUAAUAGCAGAUGAUGUUUUAUUUAUAUUAUUACUAUUGCUGUUACUACUGUGUGGAUAGAAGUUCUACCCAUGCUUACUGUUGAACCCAUUUCAUCCACCGAAAAUAACCACAAACAACUGUGAAGGACUUUUCCAUUGAGUAUCCAGCAUAAACUUGAAUGACACAGCAGCUGUUUAUGCUGAAGACAAUUUAAUCAGAAUAAGAGUUUCAGAAUUUGCUUUUGAAAUAAAGGUAUUUCCUCUGAGAUAUAUGCCAAAGGCUAAGAAUUGAAGCCAUGAGCAAGUCCUGUUUCCUCCUGCUUUGUAACUAGCAGGGAUGAAUAUCUCCAGGAUAACAUUUAACACUUUUCAAAGUCUUACUUUCAGGCCAGUGUGACAUAUGACAUUAAGUGUUUAUUAAUGCCUGCCUUCAGUAUGUAACGUUGAACUGCUAGACUUCAAAGAUGGAUAAGAAGACAAACAGCUUUUCUAUUCUAGGUUAUACGUGCAGUCAGAUGGGGGACUCAGGUGGCAGGGGAUACAUUGUUGAUCUUCUCGCAUCACACAGUUUCUUGUGCAAUAUGAUUUUUGUGAAGAAUUGGCAGCAAGUGACAACCCAUCAUAAAAUGCCUUCUCAGGAGCCAGUAUACUUGCAAAAUAUUUUCUUCAUUCUUCUAUACAUACUGUGUUGCUGUGUCAUCACUCUGAUAAGGAUCAGGAGAUUUGUUUGGGUUUUGGUCUGGUUUGUUAAGAGCUAAUUGUUGAGUGCUCCUUACUUUUUGUGUGUCUGGAAGGAGAGAGAGACAAAGGAAGGGAAAAAGAUAAAGCUGAAUGCCUAAGCCCCUUCUUAUCUUCCCUUCUUCCCUCUUCAUUGCUGUAGGCAUUGGCUGUCUGAAACAUGAAUGUUUUCAUGCAUAAAGUAAAACAACAAUCCUCUCCUUAGAAUCUUGAUCUUAGGAGAGGUAGUUUUUCUUUCUUCUAGAAUGAAAACGUAUAAGCCUGAUGUGGCAUAAAUAGUGCUAUAUGUAACACAUUUAUCAUUCCUGCUCUGUUCAUCUAUACAGACCGAGGCAUGAAAGAAUAAAGCAGGAAAACAGCGAUUAGAUUGCAAGUCUCUUAGGGCGGGGACAGCAUCUAGUUGAAUUUCUGCAGGGCCUGCUAAAAGCAGCUUCAUAGGUUUCUAUGGUUCCAUAUAUAUAUGACUGAAGAUGUAGACAUCUGGACCGAUGCUCCUGCUAGGGGCCAAGUGCUGCCAUCACUUUCUGCAAGAGCAUACAACAAGACCUCCCAGCACCCUCACAGAGGAGAGAGAAGCUCUUCAGAAGAACCCUGAACCAGAACACAACAGCAGCAUUACUUCACUGAUGAGACAACACAAUUAAUCAUAGUGUGGAAAUGCUUGUUUGGUGAACACAAGCAUCAGUCAGAAGGUCCCAAGCCUUCAUGGAGGUGGCUUUCAUCUCCACUCAUUCCAGCAAGGCUGUGCAUUCCUGUCACAGAAGAUCCCUGACACUGCGGCUGGGAAAUCCUUUCUUAUCCUGUCAGAUUGUCUGGGAGAAAGGUGCUGGUGAGAAGCAGUUUGUUUGUAGGGUGAGAGGUUGGAGAACCAGCAUCAGUCCCAAAGUGCUGAAGGUUUCUGCAUAUCCUGGUGGCCUGGGGUCAACCCUGGAGAUGCAGAGGCUCAUCCCAACUGCAGUGAAAUGUCCUUGACCACUCACAGGGAGCUGGAUCAAGAGGCCAAUUUAGCAGAAAACCAGCACUGGAAAAUGCAAACAGUUGGGUGCUGGUUUAGCUCUCCAGCCUCAUUCAUUGUUGAGUAGCAAAGAUAAUCAGUACAAGAAAAUGUUUGAGAGAAAUUUGGAAGGUGUGAUAGGAAGGUGUCCUUGUCCUUUUAAGCAGCAACUGGCCAGAUGUGCUGCACAGAUGCUGAGGCAGUGGAGAAGCUGAAGCACCAUCUGUCACUCUACAGGGGAUUCCAUUUGUCUGGAACAUAGGGAUCAUAACUCCCUGUCCUCCUCAGCCUGCCCCUCGAACCAGGCAGCAGGAACACUUGUCCAUUCCUGUGCUAUACAGACAACACACAGUUUUUACCUCAGUACAACACACUGUGAGAAAAAUAGCCCCAAAUUGUGUUCUUUUGCAUCUGCUGUAUGUAGAUCUACGAAUCCAUCGCUCCUGCCAUCUGUGCUUGUCCAAGAGUCUGGUAAAACUGGCAUUGGAAUUCUUUCCUAGAAUGGAAAGACAUGUGGGGUCAUUCCUAUAGCUAAUAAGGUGGAUAAUACUCAAAGUUAUGUCUACCAUUAGUGGCUGGACCACUAGUAAGUAUGGCAGUAUCUUUAACCUUCCAACAAUAAACAUGAUGGAAAUGGACACUUCCAGAAAUCCUUGUGGGGAAUUAUAGGCUCCCUUAAAAUGAGCUGAGAGAGAAAUAAAAUUGUGCCUGAAGAAGCAUGACACAAAGAAAACCAGAUGAACCUGAAGUCCACUGAAAAUACAUAUGCUGCUCCCCGUUUUGGAUGUAGCCAAUGGAUGCCACCAAUACUCAAAAGACCUUCCUCACAUUCCAGCUCUCUGAAGGUGGUGCCCUCCUACAGGCUCUGAAAACAGCCUGCCUGGGCCUUUGGAGUCAGCUUCCAUGCUCCUGACACUCACAGCUCUGUUUACAUUGCAGGAGGAAUAUUGAGAACUGUAUUUGGUAUUCAGUGUUUCCAUACUAAUAGAGUUGUCUAGAUGGCCACAACUCCACACAAUCAUACUGCUACUGUUUCCUCAUCUACUGAUGGCACUCAUGCUUUUUCCAUUUCCAGGAUCCUCUGGCACCAACUCCUGCGUGCUUCAUCCUUCUGUCCCUCUCUACCCUUCACUUUCUUGAUCCCAAUACUCCAGCUUCUCCUUAUGCAACUGAGAACAAAGCUAUAAAAGAAGAUAUUUGUUUCUACGUAAACUCUGUUUUCAAAGAUAACCAACCAACCAACCAACCAAAAAAACAACCACCUUUAGUACUGCAAACUUUUAAAUCUUUUAAAAUAUUUCAGUGCCUGACAUUAAAUCUACUUGCAUUUAAACUUAGGGUAUGUGCAUGGGGGUGGAGUACUGUUCUGGUACACGAGUUAGUAACAUAAACAAAGAGAAACCAACACCAGUGGGACAAGAACAAACCACAGCACAGUCCAGAGCAACUCCACUUCGUACUCUAUUUUGUAAUCCCUAACUUUUUAUCUUUAAUCUUGUUUCUAAAUUCACUUAUUCAGUCGGCAAGUACUUACACUCUUCAUAGCUUUCCACAUGGAAGACACAUGACUGAAAGUUGGGGGCUGAGGCCCUGAUCCUUUGACACUUACCAUUGGGUGUUGAAGAGGUCCCCAGGAUCUGCAAAAAGUGCAUGUUUUACAGGACUGUGAUCCUAAAAUGUAGGAGCUUCAGCAUAGGGCAUGUGUUCCAUUUGUUUUGAAAAUGCUAUGGUGUUGUGCAGUUAAAUAGAAGUGAUGUGUGAUAGUGGUCAUAGCAUUGCUAUUCGUGAAGUAAUCGUGGUCAUGUUUUCCUCAAAAAGUUGUAUUUAACCAAUACCCCUCAUUACAUUAUGCUGUAACUUCUGACUGUGUUCUCAAAGUGAUACCCUGUGUAAGAAGUUUUCAGUGCCUCUUUUCAUUCUUUACAUAGUGGCAAUAAAUUUUGGCAACUCUAAAGAGCAGAACUGGUACCUCGAAAGCAUUAGAAAGGCCAGCACUACCUACACAGGCAUGCCAUUGCAUGAAGGCCUGGGCUGUCUUUGUUCUGUAAGUUAUGAGCUCAUAUGUCAACAUGGGAAAACAGAUGUUUAAAUGAAAAAAAUAAAGAAAAUGCAGAAUGAGGAAUACAUCCAAGUUCCUUUGGCAUUUGUUCAGGUGUUUCACGGACUGAGCUAAUGGUGAUCCUGUGGACUG